AGCCCCAGCGCUGGCUGCGGCGGAACCCACGGCGUACCUUCCCGCCUCCAACAAACUAUCCGGUUGCUGAGGUUGAUUUAGCAACACCCCAGGGCAUCUGGGUUGGCAGGAGCACCACAGUGACAGCCUGGCCCAGGCUCGGGUACGGGAGGCAGCCCAGUGGCCCGCAGUAGAGGGCCAGGCUGGGGACCAGGGAGCUGGGGCUGAGGAGAAUUUGUACAGCCUAGGGAGGCGCAGCACAGCAGUAUCAGCCUCUGGCAUUUGUACCACCUUUAGUCCUGCCACUUUCUCUCACUGUGGCUUCGCAACAGACUUGGGAACCAAGAAAGGCAUAGGUGAGGAAGCUGAAGCCCAGUCUGGGCUCGCGGAAGAAACUGGUGGAUCCAACUUCUGCAUAGCGCAAAUAUCUGCUUCCUGCCUCCACCCACCCAUUCCCACUUCCUGACAUGAAACACAAGUAAAAAUAAAUACGUCAUAGAAACAGCCAGUUGCCCAGUCUCUGGGGCAGGAGCGCCUGCCCUGCUGAGAGGAGGGAAGCCCAUGAUCACACCAGCAGCUGGAUCACCCAGCCACAGAUGCUCCUCGAAGCCAGGCACAGGUCCCAGGCCUCAGGGGCGUCCUGAGGAAAGAAGACGGAAAACCAAAGCCAGGUGCCAGGACCCUGGGGCCACCUCAUUAUCCCCCACUCCUCCUGGCAGCAGUCUGGUCUUAGUGGUUAUCCAUAGCGACCCCCCUUAACCCACCUGGACCCUCUUCCCCUGACCUCUCUGAAGAUGGUACAAGGGAAAAACCUGUCUUGGGCAGGCUGGGGGGGAUUCUUCUGGUGAGUCCCCAGCCCACCCUGAGUAACACAACCAGAUAACAGUCAUUUUACACCCAGGUGCACAUGAGCACAGCACACAAACACACACACACACACUCACACACACACACACACACAGCUGGGCUGAGCUCUCUUCCAGGGAGGGUCCUGGGUCCAGUCACAGUAUGAGGUCCUCUCUCUUCUGAAUAUCAUCCCAGUAGUGGCAGCAGAGAGUACCCAAACCUCCCCAAGCCCUCUGCAUUGCAGACACUGCAGCCUGCUUGGCUACCCCUCCCCAACACACUAGAUUACUAUGUCAAAUAGACCUGCAAAAGGGAAAGGUGCACACUCAGGUCCCUGAAGAGCAAAGAAGUUGGACACUGCCUGCUCAAGAAGUUCAUUGUUAUAAGACUCAGGUAUUCAUAAAAGGCCUAGGGCUAAGCUAGUAGCACAGAAAAGCCGUUAAGGGGAUCACAGCAGAAUACACAGGGCAGAAGAGAAGAGUUGGCAGCAGGGGAACGGAGUCUCAAGGUGACCAAUAGAGAGCACAACAUUCUCAAAUAGUCCUUGAGGUGCUGAUUCCUGGGAGUAGUCAGCAGAGGGCCAGAACAUCUCCCAGGGGUCCUUUUGGGGAAGGAUGACUUCACUUAGUUUUAGGGGUGAAGAGCCACUGAGCUGGGUGCACAGAAGGCCAUGGCUCAGAAGGGAAAGACUGAUCUGAGAAAUCAAAAGGAAGUGGGGGCCAGGAGCAGUGGCUCACGCCUGUAAUCCCAUCACUGGGAGGCCGAGGAGGGUGGAUCACUUGAGGUCAGGAGUUCAAGGCCAGCCUGGCCAACGUGGUGAAACCCCGUCUCUACUAAAAAAUAUACAAAUUAGCUGGGCAUGGUGGUGUGCACCUGUAAUCCCAGCUACUUGGGAGGCUGAGGCAGGAGGAUCGCUUGAAACCGGGAGUGGAGGUUGCACGGAGCCAAGAUCACACCAUUGCACUCAAGCCUGGGUGACAGAGCAAGACUCUGUCUCAAAAAAAAAAAAAAGGAAGUGGGAAGCAGAAGGUAAUAUCCAGAACACUAGUAACAAGGAAUGUAAAGCCCCCAGAAGACCUUCCCCAUGGGAUGAGGACUCAAUUUCAGAGCAAUGCCAGGUUUGAAUAGACUCACACAGAGGGCCCUUCUCUGCUGACAACUUUGGGAGUGAUGGUCCUACCCAGGCCACUUAAGUUUGGCUAAGUGUUUCAACCAAUCUGCAAAACUGUACCCCAGCACUUUGCUUCCUGCUCCUGAAUUGAGAAAUUUCAUAUUUAGUUGUGAAUCACAAGCAUAUAGAGACUCCACACACUAAUUCCUAGGGAAGAGAGCUCCAAGGAUCACAAGCAUAUAGAGACUCCACACACUAAUUCCUAGGGAAGAGAGCUCCAAGGACCAGACAGAAUUAUCCUUAAAUCAGGAGAUGAUGAGAUAGAUGCCUAAAAAGCAUAACUCAAAGGGGUGUGGACUUCAUAGAUAUCCAAUCUAAAGAAAAUGAUAUGACCCAACAUGGUUCACUUCCUUUCUUAAAUAGCUACUUUGUCCCUGUUCAAUUUUUAUCUACAAAUAUAUUAAGAAAAGGAAAUCAAGCAUCACUAUAAAUGGUAAACCUCAAUCAUUAAGUAGUACUGUGUUCCCCAGGCUGAGAACUUGGCUAAACCAGAUGAAUGGGGCUUGAGAGGCCCUUGAAAACAUUCCAUGGAAGACAAUGGUAAGGGAAAACGCCUAGGCCUGAUUUUCUGCCCUCCCUCUUAUCACCAGCCACCCUGCCCCCCUCAGGCCUGGAUAAUGGGUGGAAGACACCACCAAGUGUUUAUGAUCAAAGAAACUAUAAAACAUGGUUCUUAGGCUCUGAGAUACUUCCUGCUUCCCUCACAAACAUGCUUAUGUUUGGUGUGCAUGCACAUUUGCCUAUCAGCACAUAUAAAGAGACAGUGGAAAAGUCAGAAGUGUUUUCAGGUUAUUUUCUUUAAAAAAAAAAAAAAAAAAAAAAAAAAAAAAAAAAAGCAAAAACCAUGGACCUGGUAGCACUCCAAUUUCCCAUGAUCCCACCCCCAACCCCUCUACACAAUAGAAACUGCACAUAUAAAAGAAAGCCUUCUCUAGUCAGGUCAGCCUCCCAGAAUGAUGGCCUCUGCUGAGUAGAAGCAAGACCCAGUCCCUGGAACACUGGAUAGACAGUAGGCAUGUGCUGCCUCUCAGAAUACCCAUUUACUUUCUGUCAACUUCAAAAGCCAAGCCCAUCCCUCCAGGGAAUGGUUUCAGUUCCCGGCUGGGAAGGUUUCCGGAUUCUUGGAGGCUAGUACAGUGAUUUCCUAGAAGUGAACACAGAAAUACUACCCCCUUCUCCCGACAACACACACACACAGACAUACACAUGCACACAUGCAUCUCUGGGAUCCCAGUGCUCCAGGGCCUGAGAGGCAUCAGUGUAACCCAGGUUCUGAGUGUGUCCCAUAAAUUGGAGAUUCAGUCUAGCUCACUCCUACUGCACCAGCCUCAACCUGAGAGCUCACUCCAACUGAGUCCCUUCACCAUCCAUUCUUGGGAUGCAUCUGAAAGAGAAAGCACUGGUUGGAACUGCUAUUUUUAAAUUAUUAAAAUAAUUUGCAUAGCUAAAUUGUAGAUCUAAGGCUUCCAUGAGUAGAAGAGUUAAGUGUCUGGCAGGGUGCUUAUGAAAACACAAAGCUUCUUAAGUUCCACUUUUGGUGUUAUUGGACAGCAGACAAACACACAUAUACACAUGCACCCCAUCCAUCAUCUCCUUGUCUCUUCUCUGAGGACAAUACCCCAGAGUCUGCUAAGGCCCUCCAAAGAUGGAAAUGGGCUGGUCAGAAGAGCUGUAGGAGCUACUACUGGGAUGACCUGACUAAGCUGCCUUCUGGGCUGGGAAGAGGCAGGUACACCACCUGCCCAGUAAGGAGGGAGCCAUGGGUAAGUGGUAAAGCUCUAAAGCCAAAGUUUGUUCAUCAUAAAGAACUGUCUGGCAAAGUGUUGGGGUGGGGGAUACAGAGGGGGCGGGGACACCAGUAGGAAGACAGCCAGUGUUUAUGCUUAAGGACUAGACGACCCUCCCCUGGCAAUGGCAAUAAGGGGAGACCCAGAAUGACUGGUGUGUUCUUUUAAGAUAAAACCCAGACUUAGGGCUCCUACAGAGAAAGGGCUCCUCCAUGUUCCUUCAAAGAUGGAGGCAGCAGACACCAGGCCUACAUGGACCACCUGAAGAUAUUUUCGAACAUGAAAUCAACAGUCCCUCAACCCAGCAACCGCCUAUCCACAGCUUCACUAUUCAGCAUAGAGAGCCAACAUCUAACAUCAUCCCAGGAGGACACAGCUCCAAAUCUGGGGUCUCUUACUUCCCAAUUGCAAACUCCAUGAUCACAACUUUCGAUUUCUGUGGAAUGAGUCCCACCCUCCACUAACUAUCCAGUCUCAGGAUUCCCUGAUCUUCCUGAAAAGCCAUCUCUCAAAAAUAUAGUUGUUUAAUCCAAACCUUGGUCAAACCUAACUCUUCCCCUGGUCAAUUUACCAUCCAUCCAGGAUUGUUUUUCACCAGUGGCUAUAGGGUCUGGGAUAUCUUAAAACUUCCCUUUCUAUCACCUACCCUCCUUACCCCUAACCUCCCCCCACCCCCAAAUAAACAAGACACAUGAAAAGUCCAAGUAAUAAAUAAUUGCCCAUAAGAAAUAAAUUAACAUGGAGCUCUCUAAAGGGGAAGGAAAGGAACAGAAAAGACUACCAGGAUAGGCAGCUGGGGGCUCAGUUCUACCCUGGUGAAAAAUGUAUUUUCCAGCCACAACUCUGCGACCUUUCAUUCACGUACUGCAGUGCUUCUCCCUCCCAGCCUCUGCACACAGACAACCUUCCAAGCUGGAAAGGGAGAGCUGCUCAGAGAUAGCCACCGGGGUUAAGAGACAUAGAUUGGUAAUGCCCAUUUUCUCUCAUGAAUUUCCCCAAAUUCUCACACAAAUGUGGCUCUGAAUACCAGGGACUUGAGUUAGCUGGGCCUUCUCUUCACCCAUCCCGAAGGAAACUUGUUAUUUCCAUGGCUCUUCUGGGCUCACCCUGAUGUUCACACUAGGUGCCAUGAACCACCAAACUGACUUCCAUUUAAAGAAAGAUAAAUUCAUUUUUCAGUUUCCCUCUUAGUUCUUCCCUCCCUCCCCUCCCACCUUCACCCCUGCUCUGUUCCAUACAUACACAUACAAAAUAAACAUACACACACACACUCACAAACACACAUACCUGGUCAGCUUCCUUCCCACCCCCUAAAAAGACCCCACUUCACAUGGGAUCACAGUCUGCUCCCCCUACCCACCCUCCUUCUCUCACUCAUUCUCCCUUCCUUCACUCCCCUCCCCAGGCCAAGCUAAGUCACCUAGUAAGGCAGCUCUCUUGGGAAAGAAUGUUCCCAAAGACAGAAAUGGGAUGUGCGCUUCUACACUCAGAUGGGCGAGCAAGCAAGCAGACAGCAUAAGCAAGGCAGGAAGGAAAAGAGGCUGCACUGCCCCUCCAUCCCUGUUUUGGGUCCCUGAUUUCCCGCUAUUGCUGCUGUGUUGGACUUUUUUUUUUUUUUUUUUUUUUUUGCCUCUUUUGUUAAACAGCAACAGAGCUCUGCCACUUUGGCCAACCACCCUCCUUUGUCCUCUUCCUUUUCCCUCCUGCCAAGUGUCC
rnacentral:lncRNA from 1 species